rnacentral:rRNA from 1 species
GGGUUGUGAGGUUAAGCGACUAAGCGUACACGGUGGAUGCCCUGGCAGUCAGAGGCGAUGAAGGGCGUGCUAAUCUGCGAUAAGCGCCGGUAAGGUGAUAUGAACCGUUAUAACCGGCGAUACCCGAAUGGGGAAACCCAGUGUGAUUCGUCACACUAUCAUUAACUGAAUCCAUAGGUUAAUGAGGCGAACCGGGGGAACUGAAACAUCUAAGUACCCCGAGGAAAAGAAAUCAACCGAGAUUCCCCCAGUAGCGGCGAGCGAACGGGGAAGAGCCCAGAGCCUGAAUCAGCAUGUGUGUUAGUGGAAGCGUCUGGAAAGGCGCGCGAUACAGGGUGACAGCCCCGUACACAAAAGCGCAUGUGCUGUGAGCUCGAUGAGUAGGGCGGGACACGUGGUAUCCUGUCUGAAUAUGGGGGGACCAUCCUCCAAGGCUAAAUACUCCUGACUGACCGAUAGUGAACCAGUACCGUGAGGGAAAGGCGAAAAGAACCCCGGCGAGGGGAGUGAAAAAGAACCUGAAACCGUGUACGUACAAGCAGUGGGAGCACCCUUUGGGGUGUGACUGCGUACCUUUUGUAUAAUGGGUCAGCGACUUAUAUUCUGUAGCAAGGUUAACCGAAUAGGGGAGCCGGAGGGAAACCGAGUCUUAACCGGGCGUUAAGUUGCAGGGUAUAGACCCGAAACCCGGUGAUCUAGCCAUGGGCAGGUUGAAGGUUGGGUAACACUAACUGGAGGACCGAACCGACUAAUGUUGAAAAAUUAGCGGAUGACCUGUGGCUGGGGGUGAAAGGCCAAUCAAACCGGGAGAUAGCUGGUUCUCCCCGAAAGCUAUUUAGGUAGCGCCUCGUGAAUUCAUCUCCGGGGGUAGAGCACUGUUUCGGCUAGGGGGCCAUCCCGGCUUACCAACCCGAUGCAAACUGCGAAUACCGGAGAAUGUUAUCACGGGAGACACACGGCGGGUGCUAACGUCCGUCGUGAAGAGGGAAACAACCCAGACCGCCAGCUAAGGUCCCAAAGUCAUGGUUAAGUGGGAAACGAUGUGGGAAGGCCCAGACAGCCAGGAUGUUGGCUUAGAAGCAGCCAUCAUUUAAAGAAAGCGUAAUAGCUCACUGGUCGAGUCGGCCUGCGCGGAAGAUGUAACGGGGCUAAACCAUGCACCGAAGCUGCGGCAGCGACGCUGAUGCGUUGUUGGGUAGGGGAGCGUUCUGUAAGCCUG